GUGGGGAAUAUUGGACAAUGGGCGAAAGCCUGAUCCAGCCAUGCCGCGUGUGUGAAGAAGGUCUUCGGAUUGUAAAGCACUUUAAGUUGGGAGGAAGGGCAGUAAGUUAAUACCUUGCUGUUUUGACGUUACCGACAGAAUAAGCACCGGCUAACUUCGUGCCAGCAGCCGCGGUAAUACGAAGGGUGCAAGCGUUAAUCGGAAUUACUGGGCGUAAAGCGCGCGUAGGUGGUUUUGUAAGUUUGACGUGAAAUCCCCGGGCUCAACCUGGGAACUGCCUCCAAAAAUGCAUGACUAGAGUACGGUAGAGUGUAGUUGAAUUUCCUGUGUAGCGGUGAAAUGCGUAGAUAUAGGAAGGAACACCAGUGGCGAAGGCGACUACCUGGACUGAUACUGACACUGAGGUGCGAAAGCGUGGGGAGCAAACAGGAUUAGAUACCCGAGUAGUCC
rnacentral:rRNA from 1 species